UCAAGCGACUAAGUGCAUGUGGUGGAUGCCUUGGCGAUCACAGGCGAUGAAGGACGCGGCAGUCUGCGAAAAGCCCCGGGGAGCUGACAACGAGCUUUGAUCCGGGGGUCUCCGAAUGAGGGAACUCCAAGCUUUAGCUUGAUCCAUGCGUGAAUACAUAGCGCAUGGAGGCGAACGCGGCGAACUGAAACAUCUCAGUAGCUGCAGGAAAAGAAAUCAACCGAGAUUCCGGAAGUAGCGGCGAGCGAAACCGGAACAGCCUGAAUUCGAUAUUGAGAAGAACACUGGAAGAGUCUGGAAAGGCUCGCCAUAGUGGGUGAUAGCCCCGUACGGGACGUUCAUCUCAAGGUACUGAGGAUUCGAAAAGUAGGUCGGGGCACGUGAAACCCUGGCUGAACAUGGGGGGACCAUCCUCCAAGGCUAAAUACUCGUGAUCGACCGAUAGCGUACUAGUACUGUGAAGGAAAGGUGAAAAGAACCCCGGGAGGGGAGUGAAAUAGAUUCUGAAACCGCAUGCAUACAAACAGUAGGAGCCCUUCGGGGUGACUGCGUACCUUUUGCAUAAUGGGUCAGCGACUUAUGUUAUGUGGCAAGCCUAACCGACUAGGGGAGGCGCAGCGAAAGCGAGUCCGAACAGGGCGAUUCAGUCGCAUGGCAUAGACCCGAAACCAGAUGAGCUAACCAUGGCCAGGCUGAAGGUGUGGUAACACACACUGGAGGGCCGAACCUACUGGUGUUGCAAAACCAGAGGAUGAGCUGUGGUUAGGGGUGAAAGGCUUAACAAAUCUGGAGAUAGCUGGUUCUCCCCGAAAACUAUUGAGGUAGUGCCUUGCGCAUGAGCUUCUGGGGGUAGAGCACUGUUAUAGCUAGGGGGACAUGGCGUCUUACCAAACUAUGGCAAACUCCGAAUACCAGAAAGCUUCGCGCAGGAGACAGAGCACCGGGUGCUAACGUCCGGACUCAAAAGGGAAUCAACCCAGACCGCCAGCUAAGGUCCCUAAUAUCAGCUAAGUGGAAAACGAAGUGGAAAGGCUAAAACAGUCAGGAAGUUGGCUUAGAAGCAGCCAUCCUUCAAAGAAAGCGUAAUAGCUCACUGAUCGAGUCCUUCCGCGCGGAAGAUGUAACGGGGCUAAGUUGAUAACCGAAGCUGCGGAUUCACACUUUGAGUGUGAGUGGUAGGGGAGCGUUCUGUAAGCCUGUGAAGGUGGAUCGUAAGGUCUGCUGGAGGUAUCAGAAGUGCGAAUGCUGACAUGAGUAACGAUAAAGCGGGUGAAAAGCCCGCUCGCCGCAAACCCAAGGUUUCCUGCUCUACGUUAAUCGGAGCAGGGUGAGUCGGUUCCUAAGGCCAGGCUGAGAAGCGUAGCUGAUGGAAAUCAGGUUAAUAUUCCUGAACCGACGUUGAAUGCGAUGGGGUGACGGAGCAGCCAGAGUGGACCGGGUGUUGGAUGUCCCGGCUUCCGAGCGAUGGGUGCCUGCAGGCAAAUCCGCAGGCGUAUACCCAGGACGAAGGAUCGGGCCUUCUUUUGAAGGCGAAGCCACUGGAAGCGCUUCCAGGAAAAACCUCUAAGCUUCAGUUCAACGGCGACCGUACCGUAAACCGACACAGGUGGGUGAGCUGAAUAUGCUCAGGCGCUUGAGAGAACUCGGGAGAAGGAACUCGGCAAAUUGACACCGUAACUUCGGAAGAAGGUGUGCCUUUGUAGCUUGAUGGGAGAGAAACCCAAAGGGCGAAGAGGUCUCAGAGAAUCGGUGGCUGUAACUGUUUACUAAAAACACAGCGCUCUGCAAAGAUGAAAGUCGACGUAUAGGGCGUGAUGCCUGCCCGGUGCUGGAAGAUUAAUUGAUGGGGUGCAAGCUCCUGAUCGAAGUCCCAGUAAACGGCGGCCGUAACUAUAACGGUCCUAAGGGAGCGAAAUUCCUUGUCGGGUAAGUUCCGACCUGCACGAAUGGUGUAAUGAUCCGGACGCUGUCUCAACCGUGAGCUCAGUGAAAUUGUAGUAUCGGUGAAGAUGCCGAUUACCCGCGAUGGGACGAAAAGACCCCGUGAACCUUUACUAUAGCUUAGCAUUGAAUUUGGGCACGCGAUGUGUAGGAUAGGUCGGAGGCUUUGAAGCAGGCACGCCAGUGUUUGUGGAGCCGCUGUUGAAAUACGACCCUUCGUUUGUUUGAGUUCUAACUUCGGUUUGAAGGACAUUGCUUGGUGGGUAGUUUGACUGGGGUGGUCGCCUCCAAAAGCGUAACGGAGGCUUCUA
rnacentral:rRNA from 1 species